rnacentral:lncRNA from 1 species
UUCUUCAGUGCAACGUGCAACCCGCUAGUAGUCUGCUCUCACACCGUGGCCAUUAGGGAAAAGCAAAUUAAAAUCUCCAAAAAUAUAUACCAGAAAAUGAAAUAAAUCAUGGAAGCGCCAUGAAAAAUAAAAUGAAAAUGAAAAUCACUAAAAAGAUUACAUAUUCAGAAAACAAGAUCAUGGAUACAUGAUAGAGUUAGAAUAACCUAACAAGUUCUCCGGAGGAAUUGCUAGCACACAAUUAACUAUGAGGCAGAGGUAGACGGCGGUGGCUGCCCGGUGAGAAAGAGUUUGAUGCCCGUGCUGUCAUGGCAAGGCGCGAGGUAGACGACAGCGGCUGUCCGGCGAUCCAACGAGACAGGAGGUAGACCUUGGUGGCUGGCCGGCGAGUUGGAAGUAAACAACGGUGGCUGAAGGUUGUCCAGUACAAACACUACUGCUACAAUGACCACCCAAGACAGACAAUAAACCUGCAGCCACAAAAUCAAGUUUACAUGGGACAAUCAAUAAAUUUUAAAGAUAGAACAAAAGGUCAAUACUAAAUCUGGUAGACUCCACGGGAAAAGGAUCUGCUAGACUAAACACAACGAGUUUAAACUACAUCUGAUAAAAUAGACUGCUGAAAUAGAGUACCUGAUGCUCACUGUUCAAAUCGGUGGCUGCCUUAGUUGACGCCGUUUUUGCUGUCGUAGGGAAUACACGAACUCUAAUAACAAUCGAGGAUUAUGAAUAGUCUGAGAACGUUAUCAUAACAAGUAAUAUUUAACAACUCUUCAGAAAUUGCAGAAUCUCUGUAGUUUAUCAAAUAUCUGAAUUUUGAUAUGCUUAGUGGGAUUUAUUAUCAGUGUUCUCUGUAGUUUAUAAGCAGCAACUGCCACUGGGAAUGGUACAAGUUGUAAGACAUUUGUGAACUCUGAAUCUGUGUCUGUUCUGAACUUCAAAACAAACACAUGCAACUGAAGUAUGAAACUGUUAUUAGCACUAGUUAAGUUGUUCCAAGCCAUAGUUUACAUGUAUGACCUGAACUUGUAUGUGUAUGCUGCAGCAAGAUUUCAGUUGUUUGAACAUGCUGAUACAAGUAAUCCAAAAUUCAAGAUUUCAUUACUGAAUAAAGGCUAGACAGUUAACAGAACUUUAUACAUAUAUGGCCUGAACUUGUGUAUGUGUCUGAUACAGGAGUAUGACCAUAAGCAUACACAGUUAACAGUUGAUUCUGGAAACUUUAAGGCUGCAAUUUCUACUUGUGGGUUUGUGUGACAAACCAAAUGUUCUCUGCUGAAAAAAAAUCAUAUCAUAUCCCUCUUCCCUUGAGAGUUUUGUGUUGAUGAUGCCUACAUGUCAAAUACGUAGCAGCAGCAGCAACGUGCUACAGGCAGCAGCAGCAGCGUCAUUGCAGGCAUCGAGGACAACUCAAGUGCUGGACGCGGGCAGUCGCUAAUCAUGUGAUUCGUGAUUGCGGAAGUUGCGCAAUGUAGCGAACGCACUGCUGGCAUAUCCACUAGCAAUCUGAAUCCUAGCUGCUAACUGAAUUUUAGUUCAAGGUGCUGCAAUGUGCAGUUGCUCCACACCUCCACUGCCAGCACAAGGUGUGAGGAGGGAAGGACGGAAGGAAGAGAUGAGGGCAGGGGAAGAUAUACCUCUGUUCGUCCAUCAUUACGACCAAGCGCAGCCAGGACCUCCAAGACCACGCGCCGGCGUCGUCCCCUCCAGAACCUCACGGCGGCGGCGGCGGGGACGUACGUGGGCGAGCGGCCACUGCGACCAAGACCAGCCUGGGCUUCGCCUCUUGGACCUAGCGUCGGCGUCUUCGCCUGCAGGUCCUCGCGCCGCCGUCUUCCAGGUCCUCGCGCCGGCUCCCCCUCUCGCGAGGGUUAGCCAGAUGCGCGGG